rnacentral:rRNA from 1 species
GGAGACACACGGCGGGUGCUAACGUCCGUCGUGAAGAGGGAAACAACCCAGACCGCCAGCUAAGGUCCCAAAGUCAUGGUUAAGUGGGAAACGAUGUGGGAAGGCCCAGACAGCCAGGAUGUUGGCUUAGAAGCAGCCAUCAUUUAAAGAAAGCGUAAUAGCUCACUGGUCGAGUCGGCCUGCGCGGAAGAUGUAACGGGGCUAAACCAUGCACCGAAGCUGCGGCAGCGACGCUUAUGCGUUGUUGGGUAGGGGAGCGUUCUGUAAGCCUGCGAAGGUGUGCUGUGAGGCAUGCUGGAGGUAUCAGAAGUGCGAAUGCUGACAUAAGUAACGAUAAAGCGGGUGAAAAGCCCGCUCGCCGGAAGACCAAGGGUUCCUGUCCAACGUUAAUCGGGGCAGGGUGAGUCGACCCCUAAGGCGAGGCCGAAAGGCGUAGUCGAUGGGAAACAG